UACGUAGGGUGCAAGCGUUAAUCGGAAUUACUGGGCGUAAAGCGUGCGCAGGCGGUUAUGUAAGACAGGCGUGAAAUCCCCGGGCUUAACCUGGGAACUGCAUUUGUGACUGCAUAGCUAGAGUACGGUAGAGGGGGAUGGAAUUCCGCGUGUAGCAGUGAAAUGCGUAGAUAUGCGGAGGAACACCGAUGGCGAAGGCAAUCCCCUGGACCUGUACUGACGCUCAUGCACGAAAGCGUGGGGAGCAAACAGG
rnacentral:rRNA from 1 species